GUGGGGCAUCAAAAGGAAGAAAAGAGAAGUGGGAUGAGAAGGUUCACGGCAAGGAAGACACAUCCUAAAAUCUCACGCACGCCAAUCACCUCUUUUUAUUUUUGUCACACAAAAAUAAACUCCCAAUGCCUCUUUUGCAAAUAAGUUCUGAUUCUCUUAUUUGAAUCAAAUUCAAAUAGAAAGUAGAGUCAAAAAGGGAGAGAGAGUCCCGAGAGGUGGGGUGCCCACUAUUGGCGCCCCUUUCUUUUCAUGCACGCAAGCAACUAAUCUCUUUUCACGCACGCAAGCAACUAAGGGCGCGCGUCUUCACGCAUGCCCUCUCUGAAGACGCGUGCCCUCUCUCUUUUCUGCAUGAAAGAGGAGAAGGAAGCCCAGUAAAAAAUGAGUUGGCUUCCUAAUUUGAUUGGAUUUCAAAUUGAGUUCAAUUCAAAUCCUAUUCUAGUCUAAUUCGAAUCAAAUUCGAAAAGGCUGUCAACCGACUCAACCCUGAUCUAAUUAGGAUUGAAUCCAAGUCCAACUUAGAUAAUCAAACUCAAUUAGUCUUAAAUUAAAUUAAGCCCAAUUAAAUUAAAUCCAAU
rnacentral:lncRNA from 1 species